GCAGACACAUCCAACUGCAGAGCGGACGGUUCGAUUGUGCGGACCGUCAGUUCCACUCCAUCCCAGCGACGUGGCAGACGCUCAUGGACAACCCCAACGACGUCAAGGAGCUCAUCCCGGAGUUCUUCUACUUCCCAGAGUUCCUGGAGAACCAAAAUGGUUUCGAUCUGGGUCGCCUGCAGAUCUCAAAGGAGAGGGUAAAUGACGUUAUUCUGCCAAAAUGGGCCAAGUCCCCGGAGGAUUUCAUCUACAAACACCGCAAAGCCCU